UACGAAGGGGGCUAGCGUUGCUCGGAAUCACUGGGCGUAAAGGGCACGUAGGUGGUUUGUUUAUGUGUAUUAUUAAAAUUGUAAAGCAUAACUUUAUAACGUAUUACAGACAACAAAACUAGAGUUAGGUAGAGGGUAGUAGAAAUUUCUAAUGUAAAGGUGAAAUUUGAUAAAAUUAGAGAGAAUACCAAUGGCGUAAGCAACUAUCUGGUCCUUAACUGAUACUGAGGUGCGAAAGGUAUGGGGACGAAUAGG
rnacentral:rRNA from 1 species